rnacentral:rRNA from 1 species
UGCGUAGGCGGGUAGUCAAGUCAGAUGUGAAAUCCUGUAGCUUAACUACAGAACUGCAUUUGAAACUGACUAUCUAGAGUAUGGGAGAGGUAGGUGGAAUUCUUGGUGUAGGGGUAAAAUCCGUAGAGAUCAAGAGGAAUACUCAUUGCGAAGGCGACCUGCUGGAACAUUACUGACGCUGAUGCGCGAAAGCGUGGGGAGCAAACAGGAUUAGAUACCCUGGUAGUCCACGCCCUAAACGAUGAAUGCUAGUUGUUGCCCUGCUUGUCAGGGCAGUAAUGCAGCUAACGCAUUAAGCAUUCCGCCUGGGGAGUACGGUCGCAAGAUUAAAACUCAAAGGAAUAGACGGGGACCCGCACAAGCGGUGGAGCAUGUGGUUUAAUUCGAAGCUACGCGAAGAACCUUACCUAGGCUUGACAUUGAUAGAAUCUGCUAGAGAUAGCGGAGUGCUGGCUUGCCAGAGCUUGAAAACAGGUGCUGCACGGCUGUCGUCAGCUCGUGUCGUGAGAUGUUGGGUUAAGUCCCGCAACGAGCGCAACCCUCGUCCUUAGUUGUUAGCAGUUCGGCUGAGCACUCUAAGGAGACUGCCUUCGCAAGGAGGAGGAAGGUGAGGACGACGUCAAGUCAUCAUGGCCCUUACGCCUAGGGCUACACACGUGCUACAAUGGGACAUACAAAAAGAUGCAAUAUCGCGAGAUGGAGCAAAUCUCUAAAAUGUCUCUCAGUUCGGAUUGUAGUCUGCAACUCGACUACAUAAAGCUGGAAUCGCUAGUAAUCGCAAAUCAGCAAUGUUGCGGUGAAUACGUUCCCGGGUCUUGUACUCACCGCCCGUCACACCAUGGGAGUUGUAUUCGCCUAAGUCGGGCAUACUAAAUUGGUUACCGCCCACGGCGG